GACCGCGUAGCUCAGUUGGCAGAGCAUUGGGCUAGUAUAUCAAGGGUCAUAGGUUCGAUUCCCAUCGUGGCCG
rnacentral:tRNA from 1 species